AGAGUUUGAUCCUGGCUCAGAUUGAACGCUGGCGGCAUGCCUUACACAUGCAAGUCGAACGGCAGCACGGGUGCUUGCACCUGGUGGCGAGUGGCGAACGGGUGAGUAAUAUAUCGGAACGUGCCCUAGAGUGGGGGAUAACGUAGCGAAAGUUACGCUAAUACCGCAUACGAUCUACGGACGAAAGUGGGGGAUCGCAAGACCUCAUGCUCAUGGAGCGGCCGAUAUCUGAUUAGCUAGUUGGUGGGGUAAAAGCCUACCAAGGCGACGAUCAGUAGCUGGUCUGAGAGGACGACCAGCCACACUGGGACUGAGACACGGCCCAGACUCCUACGGGAGGCAGCAGUGGGGAAUUUUGGACAAUGGGGGCAACCCUGGUCCAGCAAUGCCGCGUGUGUGAAGAAGGCCUUCGGGUUGUAAAGCACUUUUGUCAGGAACGAAACGGUGGAGGCUAAUACCUUCUGCUAAUGACGGUACCUGAAGAAUAAGCACCGGCUAACUACGUGCCAGCAGCCGCGGUAAUACGUAGGGUGCGAGCGUUAAUCGGAAUUACUGGGCGUAAAGCGUGCGCAGGCGGUUGUGNCAGACAGAUGUGAAAUCCCCGGG
rnacentral:rRNA from 1 species